rnacentral:rRNA from 1 species
UUCCAGACUCCUACGGGAGGCAGCAGUGAGGAAUAUUGGUCAAUGGGCUAAGGCCUGAACCAGCCAAGUCGCGUGAGGGAAGACGGUCCUAUGGAUUGUAAACCUCUUUUGUCGGGGAGCAACGAGGCCACGUGUGGCCGAAGUGAGAGUACCCGAAGAAAAAGCAUCGGCUAACUCCGUGCCAGCAGCCGCGGUAAUACGGAGGAUGCGAGCGUUAUCCGGAUUUAUUGGGUUUAAAGGGUGCGUAGGCGGACAGUCAAGUCAGCGGUAAAAAUGCGGUGCUCAACGCCGUACAGCCGUUGAAACUGGCAGUCUUGAGUGGGCGAGAAGUAUGCGGAAUGCGUGGUGUAGCGGUGAAAUGCAUAGAUAUCACGCAGAACUCCGAUUGCGAAGGCAGCAUACCGGCGCUCAACUGACGCUGAGGCACGAAAGCGUGGGGAUCGAACAGGAUUAGAUACCCGUGUAU